CUGUGGGACACCUGCGAAUAAUCUCCAAAGAAAAACGCUCUUCUGUAACAUGUGCUGAACCUGUGAGCAGGAGAUAACUAGCAUCCACAUUGUCCGUAGUAGAAAACGAACCAGUCUUCUUUGGAGACGAGCUCCGUUUCCAGAAGGAGAAGCCGUGGUUUGCCCAUCCUCUUCAACUCCUUCAGUACUGAUUGUUCCAACACUGAUAGCCUGCUCCAAAGUUUGUCCUACCAUUGGCUAACCAGUGGCCAAUCAGAUACUCUCAAUGGCACGAACCAAGAUUGGGCUGUGGGCCCUGAACUGUGAUGUCACAGAACCUGGGACCUGCACCCAUACUAGGCUAGGACAAGGGGUAGAGGCAGAGAGAGAGAGAGGAGCCACCUUGAGAAGGAAGAGACCAGGUGGGCUCUGAGAUAGGGAGACCCUUUCUACGUCGGUGCCUUGACAUGUGGCACUUUCUGCUCCAGGAUCGCCCCCAGAGGAACUGCUAUCACUUUCAAAUGACCUCGUCUUUUCUAGGGCCUUCCGAACUGAUCAUCUCUCCCUUCUGAUACAAGAGGGUCUUCCCUGGAAGACCACUGCACACCUUCUAGUAACACUGGGACCCUGGAACUGUGAGUGAACAUGUAUAGCAACCUCCGACUGAGAAGAAUGUGAUUACCAGCAGGUCAAACCCAUCAGGGAUGGUUAGGCUGCAGUAUCAAGUCCCCCAGCAAGAUCUUCAGGGAAAACCCAUGACAGUGGGAGAAUUUGUCAUUUAUACCGGAGGAGAGAGAUGGGAAUAAGGCCCAUGGGAUACACUGAGUAACUGCUUCCUGAUCAUGUGCAGAAGAAGACCUGUGCAGCCCAAGGGGUGGACGCUGAUAGCCUUAGAUUCCAGUGCUCACAUCUCCCUUCACAAAAACCUGCUUCAAGGACCAUAGAUCUCCAUCCUCCCACCCAAGUGAACAUACGCGGAGGUGAACAUGACCUAUGAUUUCAGAGCUGGGAAGAGACCUGGCGCUUUCAUUCAGGAGGAGUCCAAGGAAACGAGCGGUUUGCUGUCAGGGCUGGCAAAGAAACACUGGGAGAAGCUUCACCUACAUUUUCUGCCGCACCAAAGGUUUUUGCUACCAGCAAAAACGAGGACAUAAGAACAAAGAAACCAGGGUACAGAGAUAUUAAUCAUUCAGCUCAUAUCUCUCAGCUGGAAUGUGGAAAAGCCGACAGUCACCCACAGCUCUGGGUUUGACCCAAAACUGCCUGCAAUUCCCUACUAUGUGAUCUACAAAUACAAAGACUGCAGACAGCAUAGCAUUCUCCUGUUUGAGAAAUACAGCAGCAGCCUUGGUCUUCUUACACGUUGCAGACAUAUGCAGCAUGAAAGGAGAACAGCUUUCAUAACCAACGACGAGUGUUCUAAAAUACACACCUUGGAGCAGCUGCCUCCUAUAGUUACAGGAGGUGGCUGGUCGGGCGUGAGCAGGACAGUAGAGGGCUCCCCUGACCAUACACACGCCAGGAGUGUUGGGUGACCACCAGGUGAUGGUCAGGCUGUUGCUAACCCUUUUCAAAAGUAAUGAUUAGCCACAGCCUGCACCAGGAAAAGGCAAUAUCCUAAUAGACAGAAAACACCUGAAACUGAUCAGCAGCUUCCCAAUAAGAUCCCGGAAGUAUGCCAACGUAGAAAAUCCCAAGUCAGGCCGGGUGCGGUGGCUCACGCCUGUAAUCCCAGCACUUUUGAGGCCAAGGCGGGCGGAUCACAAGGUCAAGAGAUCAAGACCAUUCUGGCCAACAUGGUGAAAUCCCGUCUCUACUAAAAAUACUAAAAUUAGCUGUGCAUGGUGGCACGCGCCUGUAGUCCUGGCUACUCGGGAGGCUGGGGCAGGAGAAUCACUUGAACCUAGGAGGCGGAGGUUGCAGUGAGCUGAGAUAAUGCCACUGCACUCCAGCCUGGCAACAGAGCGAGACUCCAUGUCAAAAAAAAAAAAAAAAAGCCGCAAGUCAAGAAGUCAAGCUGUGUACUUGGUUUCUCUAGUCGCCCCCUUGGCCCUCUCCCAAGUUGUACUUUCCUUCCCUUGCCUUUCCUUCCUUUCCUUACUGUUCUAAUAAAUUU